rnacentral:lncRNA from 1 species
GCGUGAGGACUUCGGCGCGCGCCGGAAGCACGUGCGCGGGCUGGGCGCUCUGGCGGUGUGCGCUGAGGUGGGCAGAGCGGCAGGUGGGGGCGUUGGGGGCUGAGUCCCGAUUUCCCUGAGGGAGGGUCGGGUAGAGGCGGGCGGUGGGCAGGUUUGGGGGUGACAGAGGGCUGGGGACAGUGGGGUCCAGUUGCCGGACAGAGGAGGAAGGUGCCCGCACUGGGGAGGAAAGCAGUCCAUUUGCCAAAUUGGCCCGUCUCAGUUAAGACGUUGUCUUCGGUCAUCAUCUGCGGCUGUCAGCCAGGAAAAAACUUCCCUGACGCUGUUACGAUGGAGGCCAGAACUUGGUUAAUGUGUAACAAGGAGGCAGUAGGCCCCAGGUGUCCAGCCAGAGGCCGCCCUGUGAAUGGGAGGCAGGUUCAUUUACCCGUUGGGAAGCUAAGCUUUCACUCCAAACUGCCGGGCCCUCUUGGAUGGAGCUGAGCGGGUGUGGGCGGAAUGACAGAAGCGCAAGAUGCCCAGGUGCUAAAAGGUCAUCGCAAGACUACAGGCUGCAGCCUCUCCACAUCCCAUUUUAGAGGGUUCUGGAUUACGGUUGAGAAGUAUCUCCCGGCCCUCAGCUGGGGAUGUGUUUCCAAAUUUAGGAGUUUUUUUAAUUUUUAUUUUUUAACAGGGUCUGGCACUGUCAGCCCAGCCCAACCGAUUCUCCUGCCUCAGCCUCCUGAGUAGCUGGGGCUAGGGGCUCACACGACCACACCGCGCCAAUUUUUAAAUUUUUUGUAGAGAUGGGGUCUUGUUAUGUUGCCCAGGCUGGUCUUGAACUCCUGAGUUCAAGCAUCCUCCCUCCUUGGCCUCCCAAAUUGCUGGGAUUACAGGCAUGAGUCAUCUCACCUGGCCUUGGAUAGUUUGGUUUCAGAAGCAAAACUGAGUUAGAAUCCCCUUCUGUGGGAAAUGUAGAGAUAAACAUUUAUGGGAAAGAGAAUUUUGGUUGAGGAUUUGGCCCAUCUGAGCUUGAUCAGGGCCACAUAGCGCCUCAUAGUUCCCAACCUUGUUCACAAUAGGUAGUCGAAUGCUCAAAAUAUCCUUGGCUAAGCUCCCAAGUGACCUGGACUGUGUGGAAAAUGCCAGUACAUACUUUUGUGUGUGUGUGUGUGAGUCAGUUUGGCUCCAUCCUCCACAUAAAUUGGCAUCAGAGCUUCCCUCUUCCCCAGUGGCUAUUUGGGUCGGUAUUUUUCUCUUGUCUCCGAUCCUAAUAACAAAUAAAUGCAGUUUUUUCUAAAUCACAGAGAAGGCCCCAUGGUGAAAAGUUGUGACAGCUGUAAUUCCUAAAACUGUUUUAUAUAUAUUUCUUGUUCAGUGGCUCAGAUCAUUUGUUGCUUUCUUGUUUGUCUCUCUGCAUGUCGUGUUUGAUUUAGGCUCCUGAGUAUAACAGAUUGGUUCUGAUUAAAACCAUUUCAGAGGAAAGACAGUGAUCCCAGGAAGCGGGAAGAAAACAGCAUCACCUGAAGUUAUUCCUAUUCGUUAGAUUUGUUUUCUUCCUGCGAAAAACUGCUAUGUACAAGAAAGAAGUCAGUGAGCUGCAGUGAUAGUUAGCAUUAUUGACUGAAACUGGACCAGAGAUCCCUGAAACCUGGACAAGGUGGUAGAAAUACAAAUUAUGCUGCCAUUUCAAAGCUGUGGGCAGUUUUCUACUUUGUGGAAAAUGAAGACUUAGGUAGGCCUUUGGGAAAGACGAUUUGUUUUGGAAAAACCACCCAAAGGGAUCAUUUGGUUUGCAAAUGUAACUGCAGUAUCACAACUGGAAGAAGAAAUAUACAAGGGCGAGGUUUGAAGGAGCCCUUCAGUAUCCUUGGAUGAUACUGUGGAAGAUUCUUUGCAUCUCAGUAACUUUGGAUCUUUGAAGAUCCAAGAAAAUAAAUUUCUUCAAAAUA